GUCCAGAGAUGGGAAUCAAACCCACAGUGUUCUGGUUACGGGCAGAUGCCAUGUCCACUCUGCUACCCUGGA
rnacentral:tRNA from 1 species